rnacentral:rRNA from 1 species
UACGUAGGGCGCAAGCGUUGUCCGGAAUUAUUGGGCGUAAAGAGCUCGUAGGCGGCUUGUCACGUCGGGUGUGAAAGCCCGGGGCUUAACCCCGGGUCUGCAUUCGAUACGGGCUAGCUAGAGUGUGGUAGGGGAGAUCGGAAUUCCUGGUGUAGCGGUGAAAUGCGCAGAUAUCAGGAGGAACACCGGUGGCGAAGGCGGAUCUCUGGGCCAUUACUGACGCUGAGGAGCGAAGGCCAGGGGAGCAAACGGG